ACCCUCCAGCCCUGCGGCUGAAGGCACAGCCAAGAUUCGCAGUGGUGCCUUGAGAUGGGAGAGCAGAGCUAUUGGGCUAUACCUCCCUCCUCCCCGCGCCAAGCAGCUCAAGUCACUGUGCGAGCAGGAAACACAAGAAACGCAAGCAGAACGCUUCCUCAAGGGAGCUCCGGCCUUCAAAUCCUCCGGGUCCUGUGGCUGAGCUGACCCCGCGCUGCUGGGGCAGAGGGAAGGCCUGAGGACAGCCGGUGGUGCGUCCAUCGGGAGCCCUGCACCCCACGGUCGUGCGCUCGCUCUGCGGAACACGUCCUCUUCCUGGACCUUCGUCACCCUAAAGAGGGCCUCCAUCCAGCGCGCACAUGUCAGAGCCCUCGCUGCCAGCCCAUGGGCCCCGCCAGGCAGCCCUGCUGACAGUCACGGAGGCCCUGCCAGGAAAAUGUCAAUGGGCGACAUUGCUCCUGGCAACCAGAGCUCACUCUUCUGAAGCCGCUGCCAUCAGAGGCGAUUUGCCUCCCGGAUGAAGGUGCUGUCUGGAUGAGAGGGACACGGAGCAGCUCCCUUCAGAGUGACACGCCACGGUGACAGGGCAACAGCGGGAUGACUGCAUGCACCUGUAGCAGCGUGGAAGGCGUGUGCAUAGAUCGUGGAGAAGGGGAUGCUGUCCAAUCUGAACCAUCCAGUCAUCCUGGAGUAUUUGGGGAAAAUUAUUUUCUUGAAGACCAGAUAAGGGAUAGGCAUGAGAGGCCACUCCUUCACUCGGCUCGUGAUGACUCCUAUGGCAGAGACAAAUCAGCUCGAAAUAAAAGUGACAGUGGCUAAAACGUACACGGUGAAGCUGUCAGAAGAAUUGAAAUUUCUUGGCAGACCCAAGUCUGUAAAGAUGAUCUGGAAAAUAUUGAAAUUGAAAAAUAUGGUAACUGCAAAUAGAAAGCAUAUACUGGUAAAAGCUAAAGUUAGUAAAAUAUAUGGAGAAAAAUACUGA